rnacentral:pre_miRNA from 1 species
GUGUGUGGUACUCGACUGCAGGGAGUGACAAUCAUAUAUAAUUAAAAAUGGCUGACAUCUCUGCUAGUGGAGAAAUACAUGA